rnacentral:rRNA from 1 species
GAUGAACGCUGGCGGCGUGCUUAACACAUGCAAGUCGAACGGAAAGGCUCCUGCUUGCAGGGGUACUCGAGUGGCGAACGGGUGAGUAACACGUGGGUGAUCUGCCCAGCACUUCGGGAUAAGCCUGGGAAACUGGGUCUAAUGCCGGAUAGGACGAUGGUUUGGAUGCCAUUGUGGAAAGUUUUUUCGGUGUGGGGUGAGCUCGCGGCCUAUCAGCUUGUUGGUGGGGUAAUGGCCUACCAAGGCGUCGACGGGUAGCCGGCCUGAGAGGGUGUACGGCCACAUUGGGACUGAGAUACGGCCCAGACUCCUACGGGAGGCAGCAGUGGGGAAUAUUGCACAAUGGGCGCAAGCCUGAUGCAGCGACGCCGCGUGGGGGAUGACGGCCUUCGGGUUGUAAACUCCUUUCGCUAGGGACGAAGCGCAAGUGACGGUACCUGGAGAAGAAGCACCGGCUAACUACGUG